rnacentral:ribozyme from 14 species
AAAGACGACAUCAAGUACGAAAGGGACAUAUAUACAUUGAGGAGUAUUGUGUAUGAUUCUGUUUUUUUCUAGUUGAUAAUGCUUCGUCUUGCACCUACUCUUAUUGUCUUGAAAAACAUCACGCAGUAUAUCAUCAGGUAAUGUAGAGCUGGUACGUAUUUAAAAGUAUGUCAUAUACUCAUACUCUUCUUUAUUAAUAAAUGGAGUAUGUAGUGUAAAAAAAAAAAAAAAAAAAA